AAAAGAUUCAUGCUCCUCCAUACGAAUAGAAUCAAAUUGACUAGUCAGCAUUUGGAGCUUUUGAAUUUUUACUAAACUAGUACCUUCAUGUGUAAUUUGUAGAGUGUUCCAAAUUUCCUUGGCGGUCUCACACGCCGAAACGCGAGUAAACUCCGUUUGUGACAAUGCAUUAAAUAAAGCAUUUAUGCCCUUGCCGUUAAACGAAGAUGUCUCGUUUUCUUCUUUUGUCCACUUGUUCCGUGGUUUUGGCUUUUCAACAUUAUCGACCUUUUCUAUCGGAUGUUUCCACCCAAAUUCAAUAGAUUGCCAAACUCGCU
rnacentral:lncRNA from 1 species